GGCCCGCGCGCCCGGCCGCCCGGACGGGAACACGCGCCGCCGACAGUAAAGUUCCGCUGAGAGCCGCCCGGAGGCCGUUCUCCCCCAGCGCCGGGUGAACCGUGAUUCUUCCCUCCCGGAUAGAGCCAUCUCUGCCACAGAUGACCGUUUCAGGAGUGAAAGCGCUACGAAAAUACCAGGCCUGAAUCCACCUGGGAACGGUUCCGGGGUGGGAUCGACAGAAUGGGUCUGCACCCCGCCAGCUACCUGGCUACUAAGUGCUUCGACUGAACCUGGUUCCUCUUCGCUCUUCACUUAGGGGAGGCUUGUUAGGAUUGAAUGAGAUGAUGCAAGUGCCUGGCACGGAGAUGUGGGGCCCAACAUUGGGGCCCGAUCAUUGGUGAUGCUGCUAAUGAUGAUUGCUGCUAUUACUACCAUCUCAUACAGAGGUUGUGCACAGCCCUCAAGGACCCUUGAAAUUGAUGCGCACCCUGUAACUCUGGGUUCACACACACACACACACACACUCACACACACCUCCUUUCUUUUCCUAUUGACUGAAGCUAUCUUCAGAACCCCCUAAAAGAAAAGCAGGGAAAAGAAAGGGCUUUUUUAAUCACUGACACGGGGACAACAGAUGCUGAUCUAGGCCCUGAGGGGCACAGCACUGAACAAGAGAAAACAUAUCUCUGCUCUGAAGUAGCUCUUCUAAACAGGAAAGAUAAACACUACAAAAUCAAAUUCUAAUGAUUGCUGAAAAGAACAUACAACAGAGAUCCGUAUGGGAGAGGCAGUCAGGACAGGGGAGACAUUGGAUAAGACCCUGAUGAGAUUGUGAAGUCCAUGGAACAAAGAACUUUGUCAAUCCUAUCAAGAUCCCCAAGACCUAGAAGAGGUACAUAUCUCAAAGAAUUGAGGAGAAAAAAAAAAGAAUUGAGAAGGAAGACUCAAACAGAUACUUGUAUGCCUAUGUCCGUUGCAACAUUAUUCACAAUAUCCAAAAGGUGGAAACAAUCCAAGUGUUUAUCAGCA